AGAGUUUGAUCCUGGCUCAGAACGAACGCUGGCGGCAUGCUUAACACAUGCAAGUCGAACGAAACCAUUAGAGCUUGCUUUUUUGGAAAAGUGGCGCACGGGUGAGUAACGCGUGGAUAACGUGCCCUAGGGUUGGGAAUAACCCGCCGAAAGGCGGAUUAAUACCGAAUGUGUUCUGUUUGAGUUAGCUUAAGCAGAAG
rnacentral:rRNA from 1 species